rnacentral:rRNA from 1 species
GAUGAACGCUGGCGGCGUGCCUAAUACAUGCAAGUCGAGCGAACGGACGAGAAGCUUGCUUCUCUGAUGUUAGCGGCGGACGGGUGAGUAACACGUGGAUAACCUACCUAUAAGACUGGGAUAACUUCGGGAAACCGGAGCUAAUACCGGAUAAUAUUUUGAACCGCAUGGUUCAAAAGUGAAAGACGGUCUUGCUGUCACUUAUAGAUGGAUCCCGGCUGCAUUAGCUAGUUGGUAAGGUAACGGCUUACCAAGGCAACGAUGCAUAGCCGACCUGAGAGGGUGAUCGGCCACACUGGAACUGAGACACGGUCCAGACUCCUACGGGAGGCAGCAGUAGGGAAUCUGCCGCAAUGGGCGAAAGCCUGACGGAGCAACGCCGCGUGAGUGAUGAAGGUCUUCGGAUCGUAAAACUCUGUUAUGAGGGAAGAACAUAUGUGUAAGUAACUGUGCACAUCUUGACGGUACCUAAUCAGAAAGCCACGGCUAACUACGUG